CUUCACUCGAUUAACUUUGUUCGAUUAUCAAGAAUUAUGAAUUUAUUUAUUGUGUACUUAUUAGUUGUCUCCUGGUACAUUCCUAAAUUUCAAACAUACACAUUAGUUGUGGAAAAAAGUGGUAAUUGUGGCACCGGAACCGUUCGCAGUAUUAUUAACGUUCAAUACAACUAUUCGCAACACAAUACCGACGGCAAAGGGUACAUGGAAUACCUAAGAACUAUGAAUUGGGAAGACAAUUUUGAGAUAUCAGCCGACAUAUAUCAAAAACUAGAUGGGCGAUGGGUUAAAAACCACCAAAGAACUUGGC